rnacentral:rRNA from 1 species
UUCGGGUUAAGUCCCGUUAACGAGCGCAACCCUUGUCCUUAGUUACCAGCACGUUAUGGUGGGCACUCUAAGGAGACUGCCGGUGACAAACCGGAGGAAGGUGGGGAUGACGUCAAGUCAUCAUGGCCCUUACGGCCUGGGCUACACACGUGCUACAAUGGUCGGUACAAAGGGUUGCCAAGCCGCGAGGUGGAGCUAAUCCCAAUAAAACCGAUCGUAGUCCGGAUCGCAGUCUGCAACUCGACUGCGUGAAGUCGGAAUCGCUAGUAAUCGUGAAUCAGAAUGUCACGGUGAAUACGUUCCCGGGCCUU